CGGCAGGAAUCAGCGAAAGGUUUUUCUUUGUUUAAACCUAGAAUCAAUGUCUUCCUAGUUUGAAUUUGAUUUUUUCUUCGAGAUUAUGAGUAGCUAAACUCCUCGUGCUUUGAUGAGAUGAAUCCUACGUGAUUUCCUUAUGAACGAAUAAUCGAUUACCUUUGACGAUUUAUGCGAGUUGGAUAGCGUUUGAUUCAUGUUUAAUUUCGAUUUCAUUUAUGUUCUUUCUUGAUCAACUUGAAUUGAACAUUGUUAGAUUUUUCUUCGUCUCGAAAGAGCAUGCAUAUCUAGAACACCGAAGUUAAACAACUAGGUUAGGCGUAAACCCUCACCCGGGAGCGAAUAACUAGUUUGUUGUGUGAGCAAUUCAGGUUUAUUUUGUCGCCUAGCGGAUUUCACAUCUUUGUCUUGCAAGAGCGGACUGGCACAGUUGAUAGGUAGUACAUUAGUGGACCCGAAAUGACAUUAUUUGAUAAGAGAAGAACCGCGACAGUGAAUUGAAUCUAUCUUAUUUUGUUUAAAUUGUUGAAUUUGUCUAUCAUUUGUGAAUUUGUAUAGCCUAAAGGGAUUCGAAGUCUAAGCCGUUUUCUCCGAUUUGGUAAAAACCUUAUAUAGUGUAGUUUUGCAAAUUGUUUCAUUUUCCCAGUGUUUUUGCGUAAUUAGAAUAAUUUAUAGUUUUAGUAAUUGUGGAACCUACACCACGCGAAUUGAUAAAAUCGAUUAGCACUUGUUAUAACAUUGAGUAGAAUAUGUAAAAAGUCUCACCAUACAAGUAGUGUCUCGACAAUUUUAGUGCGAAGACCACUGCUGCCAGUUUCAAAUUAUGAAUUGGAUAAUUCACUUCAUGCACUUUCAGCUGGCGAGAUGCAUAAGCCACCACUAUACCAUCCUGCAUCAGGACACAACCUAACCCCGAAUACGAGGCAUCAUUGUAAAUCACAUACUCACCCCCAGCAACCGGUAAAGUAAGUAUUGGUGUAAUGGUGAGCCUCUUUUUCAACUCCUUAAAACUCUCGUGACAGGCCUUACUCUAGACAAAAGGAGUGUCCUUCCUGGUCAGCUUGUGGAGUGGUCCUGCUAUCCUAGAGAUCCCCUCUACAAACUUCCUGUAGUAUCCUACCAUACAAAAAAACUCCUCACUUCGAUCAUGCUUCUCAGCGGUGACCAAUUCACUAUCACCUCCACUAAUUAGGUGUCCCAUAAUUUGGCAUACAAUCACUCUCUCUUCAAGGUAUCCAAAACGUCUCUCAAGUGCUCUACAUGAUCGUCCUCCGUCUUGGAGUAUACUGAGAUAUCAUCGAUGAAUACUGUGACAAACUUGUCUAAAUACGCAUGAAACACCUUGUUCAUCAUCGCCAUGAAAGUUGUAGGGGUGUUGGUUAACCAGAAUGGCAUGACUAAGAACUCGUACUUACCAUACGUGGUUUGGAAUGCUGUCUUAGGUACAUCUUCCUCUGUAACCUUCAACUAGUGAUACCCUCACCUCAGGUUAAUUCGAGAACACAACUGCUCCCUGAAGCUGAUCAAACUGAUCAUCAAUGCGAGGCAGAGGAUAUAUGUUCUUGAAGUCACCUGGUUCAACCUCUUAUAGUCUAUACGACAUCUGCAUAAUCCAUCCUUCUUCUACAUGAACAGUAUCGGCCCACCCAAGGGUGACACACUAGGGCGGAUGAAACCCUUCUCUAACAGCUCCUUCAAUUCAUCUGGCACCAUACAAUAGGGUGUUAUGGAUAAAGGUGUUGUUCCUGGUACCAAAUCUAUAUCGAAAUCCCCCUCCCGCUCAAAAGGUACCUCUAACAGGUCAUGUGAAAAUACAUCAGGGAACUCCUAAACUAUCGGCACAUCCUCGAUCCGACCUUCAACAUCAAAGAGGAUAUGAGCAAGGAAAGCCUCAAAUCCACUUUUGAUCAGCCUUUCUGCCUUCAAGGCACAAAUGAAAGGACGUUUGUGGUGCAUCUGCCCCUGCAUCCCAACGAAGACCUAAUUGUCUUCUUCUUACAGCCCACCAUGGCUCCAUGGUGCUCCAACCAAUCCAUCUCCAAAAUCACAUCAAACUCAUAAAAAAGAAGAAUGAUGAGGUCUGUUGUGAACUCCCUAUCUUCAAAGAGCAUAACUGCUCCCUCUACCCAAGACGCCACCAAUAGAGUCUUCCCUACCAGAGUACUCACCCUAAACGAUUUACUCAUCCUAGUAGGCAAAAAGGGCAACAAAUGAACAACAACAUAGAGGAAAGAGUGCAGGCACCCAUAUCAAACAAGGCAUGAAAAGAUAUGCCAAAAAUAACAACGGUACCCGUGAUGGUAUCCGGCGCGACCCUACCUCAGCACUAGUGGCAUACACCCUCCUCUGCACCUCUGGGAUCCUCCCCUAUAGCGUCCCCUAUCAUAAAGGAAUUGCUUAAACUCUUAUAAGAAAAGACUUAGAGCCUCCUCCUCCUCCUCUCAUCUUGCUCCCAUACAGAGCUCGUCCCUAUUAUAUCGUCGCCUUCGAUGCUACGGGCAUACUCAGCUCAGUUCAUUCACGAGCAAAAUGGCCCAGCUGCCCAGGCUGAAAGUAAGCUUCUGGUUUCUUUAGAUACGCUCCCCAGUGUCAUACCCUACACUCGAGACAAGGUGCACGGUUAAAUCAUGCAGUGGGCUGCUUCUGAGGUGCUCAUGGUAACUGUCACCCGCCUAAAGCCACCUUUCUCUUCUUCUCCUUUUGCCAUGUCUGGGGCUCUCCCUUCCUCACACCCUCUAUGUGUGAGCUCUCAAGGCUGCAACCUUGAUAUCUACCAGGGUGCCCAUAUCACUGCUGGUGACCCCAAGCUGAAUAUGAGCUCUCAACCCAUCCAGAAACAUCUACUUCAUAUCUUCUACCUUCUCCCCAGGGGAGCCCUUAUACCACCUACUCAGCCUGAUGAAGGUGUUAUGGUAAUCAACCACCUUCAUAUCACCCUGUCUGAGGUCGAUGAACUCAUCCCUCUUGUUCUUUUUCCACUUCUCUAGCAUGAACUCUUCCCAAUCCUAUCCAAAUAGGUCAUCAUCGACCUCUAACUAGUUACUACACCACUUCUUUACUAUACCUCUUAGUAGGUAAACAGAAUACAACACUCUAUACUCUGGCAUGUGGUUCAGAUAUCUGAACGCAUUCGUCAACUCUCCCAGCCAAUCAACUACCAACCGCGGAUCUUUAGACUCCCCAUCAACUGUAAUGACGCCAUUCGUCAUCUUGACCACUCGUCAUCUCGACCGUACCCUUGUGAUCACUACAUACAUGAAGGCAUAUUUUAGUAUCCCUUUUCAUUUAAAACUUAUCUAUGUUAUUUUUGGAAAACAUUGAAAACUAUUCAAAACAUCAACCACGACCUUGUGAUCCAUAUUGCUACGACCAUGUUGUACGGUUGUCAUGCCCCGUGGCUUACAUCUUGCCACGCCCGUGACCGGCAUUACCACGUCUAUGUUGUACCAAUGACCACGCCAAUGGUUCUCAUCCGGUUAUGCUGGUGACCUGCUGACUUACGACGCCCGUGGUUGUCACCAUGUCACGACCGUUGCCCAUUACUAGCCACGCUCGUGGUGGUCCGUCCAUCACGCCCGUGAUGUAUUAUCAGCCCUGCCCGUGGCUGACUCUCCGUUUCAAAUUGAAAGAAACAAUCAACUUACAAACGCUUAACACAGAAAAGAAGUAUCUCCCCAGAUUAUUCAGUCGUGAACUAUAGUCAGUGCUGGUCGGUUUGAGGUUUAUGACGUCUCUAUACUAGCAAACACAAUCACGCAGUACAAAACAACCAGGUUAUGAUACGCGUUAGGAAACCCGCCCCUAAACGACCCGGUUGAACCAUGGUUUUACCCAUUCAUUACUCACGAGUUCACUUAUCACAUAAAUAAACAUAAACAUAUACAAUAACAAAGUCCUGAAAAUGCCUCAUAAUAUAAGUAAACGACAGUGGAAGAAAAACAGAGCAUCUAUGGUUUGCAAUCUAGUACUAACAACGUAAACACAUUCUAAAUAGGAAAACUCAAUAUCUAGAGAUAAGUCUACUGAAAACAACUAAAAACAUCCAAAAAUCUAUAAACAUGAAAACAUCUAAAAAACAUGAUAUGGAUAAUGAGGUCCUCGAAGGUACCUCUCUCUACGACUCCAAGAUCCACUCGAUCGAGGUGUCGCUGCUCAUGUAGCUCUCUUAGGCGGCAUUUUCUCCUGAAGUCCCAAAGUUGAUCAUGCAAGAACAUAGAGAUGAGGUCAGUGAUAACCAAUAAGUGAACAGUCCAGACUCGUGUAGAAGUACGAUAAACAUCUAGUAAUGUGAUCUUGUGGUCCUGUAGGCAUCAUCUUAUCAACAACCACCCCUAACUAUAUUUGAUAGCCUCAUGGUGGAUUAGACCUUGAAACCACCUAGUAGAUCGUAGAAACCGUGUGAGCAGCAUCUGAGGCAUACUCGACACGUCAUGCAUAACCGUAGAACAUCCUGAGGGAUUAUGCAAUCUAUGAGUGGGUGAUCAACGCAUCAUAGUUAAGAAGUAUUCUAUCCUAAACUAUAAUAUCAGGAACUGUGAAUCACACGUCACAGUUCAUCUAUUAGGAGCUUAUGCUCAAAUCAUACUCAUUGCUUGUAUAGUAGAACAUGAUCUACUGUAUAGUCCGGAGAGCCCAACUCUAAAUCUUAACAUAAUGUAUGUACAGUAGAUCACAUGCUACUGUAUAAUCCUAAGAGCCCGACUCUGAAUCAUAUCAUAUGAUAAUACCUGUAUAGUAGAUCACAAGCUAUUGUAUAGUCCGGAGAAUCCGAUCAUCGGAUUCCUAACAACCAAAUUACAGUUCUACACUUAAAGCAUAAACGUAAGUUCUAAACCCACAUCUCUGAAAAGCUUUCCAGCUAGACUCUAAUCUGAAGCAGCCUCCCUAUUGCUCAAUUGCCUGAUCCGUUUGUCGUGUAGAGAUCAAUCGUAGGAUUGAAAUCCCAAAACCCCAAAUCCUAACAUGUAAGGAUUUUCCUAUGUAGGAUUCAAAUUAAGGGAUUGAGAAAUGAUGAAGAAGAUAGGUUACCUUCUGAAGUUUCCUCAAUGAUCUCUCAGCCUCUCCUACCGAUCUGGGAUCGAUCAACUUGGCCUUCUGUUCCUCCUAAAAUCGGUCGUCGUUCGUCAGAGAGAAAUAUAAAUUUCGGUUUCUAUAAAUUAUGAGUUGCAUGUCGCGACUAUGCUUUUAUAAUAAGUCCACCAUGCACAUGGCCAACUUACCUCCACGUCUGUGGCUUACUGGUAAACACGUAUGUGACCUACUAGUGGUCACGGCUAUGAUCUCCGGGUGGUCACGAUGGGGACCAUGGUCUUGCUGACGACCAUGCCCGUGAUUGUCCAUCCAUCAACAAAAAUUCCAGAAUCACAGAAUUCAGAUUAAACUCGAAAAAUCAACUAUCAACCCGAAAUAAGGGUCCCACAUACUGUUUCCUUUGGUAUCUGGGUUUCUCGUGAUUGUAAUCCCUAUUUGUUAGGUUUUUCCUAUUCUGAUUAUGUCGAUAGUCUAACUGAUCGUAUGAGUAUUUCUGGAUCAUGUAAACUGGGACUUCUUUGAUCUCUUAGGUUAGUAAACAAUAAAAUUGUGUAGCUUUAUCAACCGCGGAGGCUGAAUAUUUGGCAGCUGGUAGUUGUUGCACUCAACGUAUUUGGAUGAAAGCUCAAUUUCGUGAUUAUGGAUCAUGUUUUGAUUCAAAAUUCCUCUAUUUUGUGAUAAGACUAGUGCAAUAAAUAUCUCUAAAAAUUCUAUUCUUCAUUUACGUACUAAACAUAUUGAUAUCAAACAUCACUUUAUUAGACAACUAGUUCAAAAUAAUAAAGUUUCACUUGAAUUUAUUCCUACUGAUAAUCAAAUUGCUGACAUUUUUACUAAACCUUUACGUGUAGAUAGGUUCAUUCAUCUUAGACGAGAACUCGGUAUCUUAAAUGUCAGUGAUGCUGAUUCUCUUAGCAAAAUUGAUUGAUCUGCCUAUUUUCUCUCUUUUCUUGUGUAGAAUCUUUCUGAUCUUCUAACCAUUCUGCAUUUCUUUAUUACUUGAGUUUUGUUUCCUCACUCCUCUCUGGAUGUGGUUUUGCCCAUGGAUGCUUGGAUUAUGGACAGUGUUAUCUCCGGACGACACGUUAGCUAUGCUCACAUCAUGUUCGUUCACAUCAUCAAUGCUGGAAUGGAUCACAAUAUUCACCAUCACAUGCCCUUUGUACCCCUCAUUACCUUACUUUUGCAGAGACUUGGACUUGGCAUUGAGGAUCACUAGGGUGCUACCAACAGUCUCAGGGUUCUUCGUGCGAAAAAGGUAUUCCGUCUGAGUUGGGUAACGGUUUAGUAAUGCCACAAAGGGAGUAUUGGACUCUUCUGAUGAUGAUUCCGAUUUAUCAGAUGAAUAUCUUGACGUUGAGACAACACAAGCUCAAUUUGGAGUCCCGGGGAAAUCUUGGGUUGAUCAUGAUGCAACCUUAGACUAUGAGACUAAUCCUGGGUUGAUCAUGGUGUCUUCAUUAUAGUGUCGAAGCGUGAGUUGUUUAAUUGUCCUGUUUUUGUUUUGUCUGAAUAAAAGAAGAACUCCCAUUUUGCUUUUUAAAGAUACACUUUCAUCAAAAGUCAGGUUGUGUGUCAUCAUGAAUUAAUGGGGGAGAUUGUCGAGUCAUUUUAAACAUUAUAAUGACUACAUUUACAGAUCUUGGAAAGGUUGGUAUUUUUGUGUUUGCUGUAAUAAACUAAAGGAGCUGAUCCCAUUUAUAUC
rnacentral:lncRNA from 1 species